CCUACGGGAGGCAGCAGUGAGGAAUAUUGGUCAAUGGGCGUAAGCCUGAACCAGCCAAGUCGCGUGAGGGAUGAAGGCUCUAUGGAUCGUAAACCUCUUUUAUAAGGGAACAAAGUGUGGGACGUGUCCUAUUUUGGAUGUACCUUAUGAAUAAGGAUCGGCUAAAUCCGUGCCAGCCGCCGCGGUAAUACGGAGGAUCCGAGCGUUUUCCGGAUUUAUUGGGUUUCAAGGGUGCGUAUGCGGCCUUUUAAGUCAGCGGUGAAAGUCUGUGGCUCCACCAUAGAAGUGCCGUUGAAACUGGGGGGCUUGAGUAUGUUUGAGGCAGGCGGAAUGCGUGGUGUAGCGGUGAAAUGCUUAGAUAUCACGCAGAACCCCGAUUGCGAAGGCAGCCUGCCGGGCCAUGACUGACGCUGAUGCACGAAAGCGUGGGGAUCGAACAGGAUUAGAUACCCCGGUAGUC
rnacentral:rRNA from 1 species